CGGGGGCAGCGAGGCGGAGGGGCGGCACGGAGGGAGAAGGUCGAGGGGCCCGCGGCGGGACUGCGGCGCGGGGGAGCCGGAGGCUGAUUUGGGACAGGUCUGCAGGGACCCCUCAGUCUGCCCACUGGAGCUAGGCCGCUUUCUUCCGCAGUCCAGCCCGCUCCAUCUACCGCCGCGGGCAAAUACUCCAGAACAUGUCCUUGGGAUGAUGGCACCUUCAGAGGGACCCAAGGACAAUAACAUUUCUCGAAAGACCCCCAUUUCGGGUCUCUCACCAAACUCACAACUACACUGAGAGCGGAAGUAGCUUUGCCCCUAUAAAACAUGGCGGAAAGCUUGCUUGUCUCCAAGGGAACAUCACGUAAUGAUUCCAAGUAGUGAGGGCCGAUUCUGCGCACGCGCACAAGCGAGCGCCGCCGGAAAGGGCGGUUUUCUACCGCGGCUGUGGAUUUGGUGCGCGUGCGCAGUAGGCUCUUCCGGCAACUGUGUUGCGCAAAUGGUGGAGAAGAAAACUUCAGUUCGCUCCCAGGACCCUGGACAGCGGCGGGUGCUGGACCGGGCUGCCCGGCAGCGCCGGAUCAACAGGCAGCUUGAGGCCUUGGAGAAUGACAACUUCCAGGAUGACCCCCACGCAGGCCUCCCCCAGCUCGGCAAGAGGCUGCCUCAGUUUGACGACGAUGCAGACACCGGAAAGAAAAAAAAGAAAACUCGAGGGGAUCAUUUUAAACUUCGCUUCCGAAAAAACUUCCAGGCCUUGCUGGAGGAGCAGAACCUGAGUGUGGCGGAGGGCCCCAACUACCUGACAGCCUGCGCAGGGCCCCCGUCCCGGCCCCAGCGCCCCUUCUGUGCUGUGUGCGGCUUCCCUUCCCCGUACACCUGCGUCAGCUGCGGAGCGCGGUACUGCACUGUGCGCUGCCUGGGCACCCACCAGGAGACCAGGUGUCUGAAGUGGACCGUGUGAGCCUGGGGUCUUCAGAGAGGAAGGCCUCCAUGCGUCACUGAAGGACGCCUCCUGGACAGAGGGCGCUGUGCUCUGUCUUCCCAGUAGGGACAACCAGUCUUGCCCCUGGGGCCGUCCAGUGGCCGAGCCCAGCCUGCAGAGUGCUGUGGUGGGGUGUUCCUCUGGAAUCAAGGCAGGCUUAUGACUGCUCCAACUGUGACACCUAUAGACCUGCCCUGUGGCUAGGAUGCUUGAUUUUGGGUCCCUGAGGCAUUCAGUAGGAAAUCCAGCUACCCUGAAGCAGAAGCCACCAUGCUGUGAGGAAGUCCAGGCGGCACAGAGAGGCCUGUGCAGGACCAGGGGAACCAGGCCUUCAAGUCCCCCAGCCCAGCUUCAGUCACAGGGGUGGGAUGCCUCCAGGUGAUUCUGCCCUGCGUCAAGUCACCUUCAGCCUUCCAUCUCCCUCACUGUGACCUCACAACACAGAGAGAGACGCCAUCUCGCUGUGCCUGUCUAGACCCGAGCUAGAGUCUGUGUGUGUAAUAAAAUAGUGGAAUUAUGCUGUUGAGUCUCAAGAUGGUUUGUU